rnacentral:lncRNA from 1 species
GAGGAAGCUGCCUAAGAAUGAAGGGGAGAAAUAUAUCACAUCAUCUGUCUGUCCACAGCCUUCCUCUGGGCAUCUAAAAGGGGUAACGAGCGAAACACCAGCGUUCAGCGAGCAGCUUGAGCGGCGGUACGCUGAAGUAAGAGCACUGGCUUUUGGAAAAACCUGCAGACUACGGGGCGAGUAAAGAGAGAGAGACAGCCUACCGCUGUUUCGGUCGAGCAGAGAGCGGGAUCUCCGGCGGCUGAAGAGUGGUUCUUGAAUCGGCCAGAUACUGUUCCAUCCUCUUUUCUGCCAAUCAAGCAAAGAUGAGGACAACACCCAAACUGGCACGAUAACAGCGCCGUAUUCGAAGAGGACCCAAUUGUUCCAAAAGGCCUUGAUUUUGCUCCGCCGCGGUCCGCGCGGAGGCUGCCGCAGCUGUGGACAGCAACAGGUGUGUUAUCGGUGUUUGCUAAUUCGGGAUCCUUGGGACGUCCCAACUCUGACCUUACCCGAUCGACGGUUAAGAGAAAAGGUGAGAGGACCCUGCUGA